AGCGAACGCUGGCGGCAGGCCUAACACAUGCAAGUCGAACGAACUCUUCGGAGUUAGUGGCGGACGGGUGAGUAACACGUGGGAACGUGCCUUUAGGUUCGGAAUAACUCAGGGAAACUUGUGCUAAUACCGAAUGUGCCCUUCGGGGGAAAGAUUUAUCGCCUUUAGAGCGGCCCGCGUCUGAUUAGCUAGUUGGUGAGGUAAAGGCUCACCAAGGCGACGAUCAGUAGCUGGUCUGAGAGGAUGAUCAGCUACAUUGGGACUGAGACACGGCCCAAACUCCUACGGGAGGCAGCAGUGGGGAAUCUUGCGCAAUGGGCGAAAGCCUGACGCAGCCAUGCCGCGUGAAUGAUGAAGGUCUUAGGAUUGUAAAAUUCUUUCACCGGGGACGAUAAUGACGGUACCCGGAGAAGAAGCCCCGGCUAACUUCGUG
rnacentral:rRNA from 1 species